GGGGAGAGGAGGAAGCAGUGGAGGGAGAAAAGGAAGGUGCAAUAGGAACUAGGAGGAAAGAAGCGGAGUAGGUGGAUAAGAAUAGCGCAGUAAGUGGGUGACGGAUUGAGUGGGAUAGGCAGGGUGGGAGAAGGAUAGUGAGGUUGGCAGGUAUGGGACGGUGGUGUAGUCAGAUGGGGGUUUGCAUUGUGUUCAGCAGCGAGACAGGACUCGUCAUGGUUAGAAUGGUGGAGCUGGUCUCAAUCAGUGGAGGAGGAGGGUGGAACUUGUGCUGCCCUUUGUGGUGUGCUCGUUGUUGGGGUGCCUCUGGGUGAAGGCAUUCCUUUGGGUAGGUUACAUACAUUGUUUGAGCUUGGGGAGACCGCUGCUGUCUCUGUGGCAGUAGCCCUGUGCCUGAUUCUUAGGCCAUCCUGGAAAUGAGUGGCUGCUUUGGAACUGGCCUUGAACGUGUGGCAAACCAGGGGAGGUAGAUUUGUACUCUAAACUGUACUCAUUGUCAGCUUGGGAAGCGCUGCUGUCUCUUGAAUUGCAGUACGUUCUCGCAUCUGGCUCUCGAAAGUUAUGCUUGAAAAUUGGUGUCUCGGCUUUGUGAAAGGGAUUUCAUUUACUACAACUAGUCCAUGAUGUUUGGCCAGUCAGUAUUCUUCGGUGAUAUCUGCCCUGGAAGUCCUUUUGUGUAGGUAUAUUUUCACGUUAUUUUUCAGACUACAAGCCUAUGCGUUUGUUACCUUGAAGGUAUGCAAUAUUUUUCAUAUUUUGAUAAUGAAUUAGUUUAAAACUGCUUUCUUGUAUUUUAAAGCUAUUUUACAAGAAAAUGAUUAAUAUAAAAUAGUUCUGCUGUUGACUUUGAUCCAGCAUGAUAUGUUCUAUUUUCACUGUUCAGUAAUGACAGCAUUUUGUUCUGAGUUAGACAUUAUAUGAAUUUAAAAUAAUUUACUUGAUAUUGUAUGAAUUAAAACAUAGAACAUUCCAGCACAGUCCAGACUCUUCUGUCCAUGAUAUUGUCCUGCACUUUUAACCUACUUCAAAAUCAAUCUAAACCUUCCCUCCCUCUUAGCUGCCCAUUUUUCUAUCAGCCAUGUGCUUAUCUAAGAGUUAUUUAAAUGUCCCUAAUGUCUGCCUCUAUCACCACCCUUGGCAGUGCAUUCCAUGCACCUACCACAUCCUGUAUGUAAAAAAAAUGUCUAUCUCUGCCAACCAUUUUGCCCUCUCAUAUUAGUAAUUUCUGCCCUGAAAAAAGUCUCUGGCAGUACACUUUAUCUAUAUUUCUUCAUAUUGUUUACCUUUAUCGAGUUGCCUCCCUUCCAGCUUCAUUCCAAAGUGAGUAACUGUAGCUGGCUCAACAUAUCCUCAUAAGAUAUGCUCUCUAAUCCAGGAAGCACCUGAGUAAAUUUUUGCACCUCUCAAAAGUUUUUGACAUCCUUUCUAUAAUGAGCUGACCAGAACUGAGCAUGAUGCUCCAAAUGUGCCCCAACUAGGGUCAUAGAGCUGCAGCAUUACCUCAUGGCUCUUGAACACAACAUCCUGACUAAUAAAAUCCAAAACACCAUAUGCCGUGUGGCAACUAUUGAUGAAUUAAUUUUGUAUGGACUCGGUAACUUAGUUCUUAAACAUUGACACUCUGCUAAAUCAAGUUGGGGAAUUUAUUGUUAAGGUCUAUAAGCUUAACCCUUUCACUUCUUUUGUAUAGUGUUAAUAUAUUUUGAAAUUGUACUAAUAUAACUGAAAUACACUGUAAUUAUGUGUUUAAUCCAUACAUUUUCUAAAUAAUAAAUGUACCACAACGUUUAUUUGAAACUUUUUAGAGUUACAAUGUAUUUACUUUCAGUGUUUCAAGUUAUAAUGCUGUAACAGAUUGUAACAAUAAACACAGAAUGGCAGUCAGUUGCUCAUUGUUAAUCAAUACAUCGGCACCUACAAAAUAAAAGCUAGUGCUUGCCGGUUUCAGGCCGUGUAAACUUCCUCAGAGCAAUGUUAGUGCAGCUGUGCAAAUAAAUAAAUAUAAUUAGAGGGAAUGUUGCAACAUACCAAAUUCUUUUUAUUUUUUAAAAGUUAAAUAUUUUAAAGUUUUAGAUCAUUGCAAUGCAUGUUGAAGACGAACAACGAUGGAAUCUUUUAACUGGUUUCUACUGAUACCAUAAAUAACCAUGGAAAAAAAUUAGAAAAUGAAACAUAUCUGGAAUAAUCAGUAAAAUAUCACAUCUGAAAAGUUAGAUGCACGUUUUGGAAACUGAGGAAACAGUCAUAGAGCACGACAUCACAGAAACAAGGCCUCUUAGUCUGUCUAGUCUUUGCUAAGCUGUUAAAUCCAUGUACCUAUCCAUACUUCUCUUAAAUUUUAUUAUGUUGGAGUUCUGCACUUCCACUGGUGGCUUGUUCCACACUUGCACCACCCUCUGAAUGAUGAAGCUUCCCCAUAGGUUACACUUAAAUAUUUCCCCUUUCAUAGUCCCUUUGAUGGUCUUGGUUGUUCGGCUUUUUUAAUAGGUUCUAUUGUGUCUGUUUUGUGGCUGGCUGGAAGAGGACAAAUCUCUAGGUGUAUAAAAUACACAUACUUUAAUUAACUUUGAACCUGUGACCUCUAGUUCUUACAGUGAAUCUAAUAGACUAGUGCAAAAAUGUCUUUGAUUUGAUGUUAAUGUGUGCAGCUUGAAUCGUUUUAAUGUCUUGUAUGUUAAUAGCUAAUUAAUGUGGUAAAGUGAAGCAAUCAAUUCUGUAUAUAGAUCAUUAUUCCAAAAUAAAGAAUACCUUGCUGAAACACAAUCUAUGAAACUGUUUAUUUUGUCUGUCUCUUUCAUUGCUUUAGAGCUGUGCUCUUGUGCCAGAAACUUAGGAAAUAAUCUGUUAAAGUGUGGUGUUCUUUAGGCUUUGGUCCUGUUAGUUUUAUAUUUUUGAGAAAUUAAAGAAAAUGUUGGACAUCUUCACCACAUUAACUUGUUGAUAUCCUCAACUGCCCUGAGAUGUGUGGUAGUAUUAAAAAAAAGACAUCCUUAACAGAUUUAGCAGAAAUAUGACUGACUGGGUUCUAAAAUUAAUAUAUGCGGAUGAACACAUGAAGAGACUUAAGCCACAGAGCAAUGGACUGAGCUAGGAAGAGGGAUUAACAAAGCUUUAAUUUUUAGCUGACAGAUGCCACCUAUUGCAUUUGUUUCCUGUUCUGCAAACUUUUAUAUUUUGUCCAUCUUAAACAUGUGCAAACAGUGAGUAUCCAUGGUGACAUCAUUGAAAUAUUCCCACAACCAAUGGACUCACUUUCAAAGACUCUUCAUCUUGUGUUCUCGACGUUUAUUGCUUAUUUAUUAUUAUUAUUUAUUUUAGUAUUUGCAGGGUUUGUUGUCCUUUGCACACUGGUUGAACACCCAAGUUGGUGCGCCCUUUCAUUGAUUUCUGUUAUGGUUAAUAUUCUAUACAUUUAUUGAGUAUACCCACGAGAAAAUGAAUCUUAGCAUUGUUUUAUGGUGCAAGUAUGUACUUUGAUAAUCUACUUUCAACUUUGAUAUGAUUCAGAAAUUUAUAGAACAAAUUCCUUACUAAAAUAUGAAUCCAAUUUCUGAUGUACAAAAUGGUCAUUUCCAGCCCCGGCUGUACAGUGAAGAUAACAAUGCCACUUACGGAGUUGUAGACAAUAGACAAUAGGUGCAGAAGUAGACCAUUCGGCCCCUCGAGUCUGCACCGCCAUUCUGAGAUCAUGGCUGAUCAUUCACUAUCAAUACCCAGUCCCUGCCUUGUCCCCAUAUCCCUUGAUUCCCCUAUCCAUCAGAUAUCUAUCCAGCUCCUUCUUGAAAGCAUCCAGAGAAUUGGCCUCCACCGUCUUCCGAGGCAGUGCAUUCCACACCUCCACAACUCUCUGGGAGAAGAAGCUCUUCCUCAACUCUGUUUUAAAUAACUGACCUCUUAUUCUCAAUCCAUGCCCUCUGGUACUGGACUCUCCCAACAUCUGGA